ACUAGGCUGCCUGGUUAAGGACAUGAAGAUCAAGUCUUUGGAGGAAAUCUAUCUUUUCUCCCCACCCAUCAAGGACCCUGAGAUAAUUGACUUUUUCCUGGGGGCGUCCCUCAAGGAUGAGGUGUUGAAGAUCAUGCCAGUGUAGAAGCCGACUCCAGCUGGCUAACACACCAGGUUCAAGGCAUUUGUAGCCAUUGGUGACUACAAUGGCUAUGUGGGUUUGGGUGUUAAGUGCUCCAAGGAGGUUGCCACUGCCAUCCGAGGAGCCAUCAUCCUGGCGAAGCUCUCCAUUGUCCCUGUGCGGAGAGGCUACUGGGGGAACAGAUUGGCAAGCCUCACAGCGUCCCGUGCAAGGUGACAGGCCGCUGGGGAUCUGUGCUGCUGCGCCUCAUCCCCGCCCCCAGAGGCACUGGGAUUGUUUCAGCUCCUGUCCCCAAGAAGCUGUUGAUGAUGGCUGGUGUUGAUGACUGCUACACCUCAGCCAGGGGCUGUACUGCUACUUUGGGCACCUUUGCCAAGGCCACUUUUGCUGCCAUCUCCAAGACCUACAGUUACCUGACCCCUGAUCUCUGGAAAGAGACCGUGUUCACCAAAUCUCCUUAUCAAGAAUUCACUGACCAUUUUGUGAAAACCCACACCAGAGUCUCCGUGCAGAGGACCCAGGCUCCAGCUGUGGCUACAACAUAGGAUUUUUAUACAAGAACAGUA